AUAUAUGUCACCUGGGGAUCUUGUUAAAAGGUAGGUUUCGAUUCAUUUGGUCUGGAGUAGGGCCUGAGAAUUUACAUUUCUGAUAAGCUCCUGGGUGACACUGCU
rnacentral:pre_miRNA from 1 species